CUGUAUCGGAAGUGCGAAUGCUGACAUGAGUAGCGAUAAGCGGGUGAAAGGCCCGCUCGCCGAAAGCCCAAGGUUUCCUGCGCAACGUUCAUCGGCGCAGGGUGAGUCGGCUCCUAAGGCGAGGCCGAAAGGCGUAGUCGAUGGAAAACAGGUUAAUAGUCCUGUACCUUUAUGCAAUGCGAUGGGGGGACGGAGAAGGUUAGGUGGGCCGGGUGUUGGACGUCCUGGUUCAAGCGUGUAGGCGUGCCCGAUAGGCAAAUCCGUUGGGCUUAGCCGAGGCGUGAUGACGCAAGACUCUCACGAGUCCCAAGCCACUGAGUCCCCGCUUCCAGGAAAAGCCUCUAAGCUUCAGUUGCAUGAAGACCGUACCGCAAACCGACACAGGUGGGCAGGAUGAAGAUUCUAAGGCGCUUGAGAGAACUCAGGAGAAGGAACUCGGCAAAUUAGCACCGUAACUUCGGGAGAAGGUGCGCCCCGGUAGUGUGUAGCGGCUUGCCCGUGGAGCACGAUGGGGUUGCAGUGAAUUGGUGGCUGCGACUGUUUAAUAAAAACACAGCACUCUGCAAACACGAAAGUGGACGUAUAGGGUGUGACGCCUGCCCGGUGCCGGAAGGUUAAGUGAUGGGGUGCAAGCUCUUGAUCGAAGCCCCGGUAAACGGCGGCCGUAACAAUAACGGUCCUAAGGUAGCGAGAUUCCUUGUCGGGUAAGUUCCGACCUGCACGAAUGGCGUAACGAUGGCCACACUGUCUCCUCCUGAGACUCAGCGAAGUUGAAGUGGUUGUGAAGAUGCAAUCUACCCGCUGCUAGACGGAAAGACCCCAUGCACCUUUACUGUAGCUUUGCAUUGGACUUUGAUGAGACUUGUGUAGGAUAGGUGGGAGGCUUUGAAGGCGGGAUGCUAGUUCCGCUGGAGCCGUCCUUGAAAUACCACCCUGGUGUCAUUGAGGUUCUAACCUAGAUCCAUUAUCUGGAUCGGGGACCGUGCAUGGCAGGCAGUUUGACUGGGGCGGUCUCCUCCCAAAGGGUAACGGAGGAGUUCGAAGGUUCGCUAGGUACGGUCGGACAUCGUACUGAUAGUGCAUUGGCAAAAGCGAGCUUGACUGCGAGACGGACAUGUCGAGCAGGUGCGAAAGCAGGACAAAGUGAUCCGGUGGUUCUGUAUGGAAGGGCCAUCGCUCAACGGAUAAAAGGUGCGCUGGGGAUAACAGGCUGAUGACUCCCAAGAGUUCAUAUCGACGGAGUCGUUUGGCACCUCGAUGUCGGCUCAUCACAUCCUGGGGCUGUAGCCGGUCCCAAGGGUAUGGCUGUUCGCCAUUUAAAGUGGUACGUGAGCUGGGUUUAAAACGUCGUGAGACAGUUUGGUCCCUAUCUGCAGUGGGCGUUGGAGAUUUGACGGGGGCUGCUCCUAGUACGAGAGGACCGGAGUGGACGCACCCCUGGUGUACCGGUUGUGACGCCAGUCGCAUCGCCGGGUAGCUAUGUGCGGAAGAGAUAACCGCUGAAAGCAUCUAAGCGGGAAACUUGCCUGAAGAUGAGAUCUCCCGGAGGCUUGACCUCCCUGAAGGGUCGUGGAAGACCACCACGUUGAUAGGCCGGGUGUGGAAGCGCAGUAAUGCGUUAAGCUAACCGGUACUAAUUGCCCGUGCGGCUUGAUCCU
rnacentral:rRNA from 1 species